AACGUAGGUGGCGAGCGUUAUCCGGAAUACUGGGCGUAAAGCGUGAUGCAGGCGGGCUAGCAAGUGGUGUAUGAAAGCUCCCGGCUCAACCGGGGAAGGGUUAUGCCAGACUGCUAGUCUUGAGUGCGAGAGAGGAGCGUGGGAAUUCCGGGUGUAGUGGUGAAAUGCGCAGAUAGUCAGGAGGAACACCGGUGGGCGAAGGCGGAUCUCUGGGCCGUAACUGACGCUGAGGAGCGAAAGCAUGGGGAGCGAACAGG
rnacentral:rRNA from 1 species